rnacentral:rRNA from 1 species
ACAAGCGGUGGAGUAUGUGGUUUAAUUCGAUGCAACGCGAAGAACCUUACCUGGUCUUGACAUCCCGGAGACCCUUAGGAAACUAGGGGGUGCUUCCAUCUGGAAGAAUCUGGAGACAGGUGCUGCAUGGCUGUCGUCAGCUCGUGUCGUGAGAUGUUGGGUUAAGUCCCGCAACGAGCGCAACCCUUGCCUUUAGUUGCCAGCAGUUCGGCUGGGCACUCUAAAGGGACUGCCGGUGUUAAACCGGAGGAAGGUGGGGAUGACGUCAAGUCCUCAUGGCCUUUAUGACCAGGGCUACACACGUACUACAAUGGCCGAUACAAAGGGCAGCGACACUGCGAGGUGAAGCCAAUCCCGUAAAAUCGGUCUCAGUCCGGAUUGGAGUCUGCAACUCGACUCCAUGAAGUUGGAAUCGCUAGUAAUCGCAGAUCAGCAACGCUGCGGUGAAUACGUUCCCGGGCCUU